AUGCAUGACCCCUUUUGUAAGCUAUACCGACUACUAUGUAGUAGCUAUCGUGCUCCUUUCAUUAUGCAUGUUUCAUCAUGGAUGAUUCUUGUCAUUGCCAAUUUUCUCAAUGCUGAACUACCCCUGUUAUAUAUUAGAAGGAUGGUUAGACCAGGUGGUCGUGGUCGUGGUGGCGAUGCCCCACCACCACCUGAGUACAUGGCUGGUAUGAUCCAACAGUUUGAACUGAACCGCCAAUUCAUGGAAAAUAUGAUGGCUCAGUUUCCUCGCCCCAAUAUGAACCAGCAGCCAGCCCAAGUGACUCUUCAAGAUUUCAUACGCCUCAACCCAACCAUCUACCGCAGCUCAACUCAGCCUCUGGAUGCUGAUGACUGGCUCUGUGACAUCACCUAUGAGAUGGAGUCUGCUGAUGUAGCCCCUGCCAGCUAUGUCACCUUUGCUUCCUUCUUCUUGAAGGGACCCGCGGCUCAAUGGUGGGACAGCCACAGGCGUACUCUGCCAGCUGGAACAAUCAUCACAUGGCCAGACUUCCAAGCUGCUUUCCGUGCCCGCUUCAUUCCUCAAGGAGUCAUGGACCGGAAGAAGCGUGAGUUCCGCAACCUCACCCAAGGCAACAAAACUGUCGAAGCUUAUCAGCGGGAGUUUCUGGACUUGUCCCGCUAUGCUGAAGAAGACAUUGCAACUGAUGCACGCAGACAGGAGAAGUUCCGUGAUGGCCUUCAAGCUGACAUCAAGCUUGCACUUCUAGUGCAUGACUUUGCUGAUUUCGCCACCUUGGUGAACAAGGCCAUCAAUGUC
rnacentral:rRNA from 1 species